UGGAACUUGCUCUUGUGAAGUGUUGAAGAAAGAAAAUGCCUUCUUAAAAUCAGAGCUAGAAACUUUAAAGAUUGACUACACUCAGUUAAUAAAGGAGAAAUCAGUUGAGAAUUUCAGUGAGAGACAAGUCAAUUUAUUAAAAGCUCACAUACUCCAGCUGGAGUGACAGUUAUUAAUAUUAUCUGAUGCUCUUGAGGGCCAGGUUCAAUUGCUAUCUGAUCUUCAGGUUUAUGGGGAGGCACUGGAAUAUAAGAUAAAAAAUAAAGAGCCAAUUGCUGAAGAUGCAACACGUUUAAGAAAGUUAAAUCAAAGGCUUAAAAAAGUGUCAUGUCCCAGAGAAGAUGUUGCUCUAUCUUUAGUGUAUACUGGUGGAUUAUCAAAGCCACUCACAAUAUUGGACUCUUUAUCUAACAAAGAUAAUAUAUCACUUAGAGAAAUAGUGAGUACUGAUGAGUACAUGUGCCAAUGUAUUGUGUGCUUACUGGGAAAGAAUUUAG